GCUGCGGUAGCUCAGUGGUAGAGCACUCUCUUGGUAAGGGAGAGGUCGAGAGUUCAAUCCUCUCUCGCAGCACCA
rnacentral:tRNA from 1 species